rnacentral:rRNA from 1 species
AUUGAACGCUGGCGGAAUGCUUUACACAUGCAAGUCGAACGGCAGCACGGACUUCGGUCUGGUGGCGAGUGGCGAACGGGUGAGUAAUGUAUCGGAACGUGCCCAGUCGUGGGGGAUAACGUAGUGAAAAUUACGCUAAUACCGCAUACGAUCGAUGGAUGAAAGCGGGGGAGCGCAAGACCUCGCGCGAUUGGAGCGGACGAUAUCAGAUUAGGUAGUUGGUGGGGUAAAGGCCCACCAAGCCAACGAUCUGUAGCUGGUCUGAGAGGACGACCAGCCACACUGGAACUGAGACACGGUCCAGACUCCUACGGGAGGCAGCAGUGGGGAAUUUUGGACAAUGGGCGAAAGCCUGAUCCAGCCAUUCCGCGUGCAGGAUGAAGGCCCUCGGGUUGUAAACUGCUUUUGUACAGAACGAAAAGGUUUCUACUAAUACUAGGAGCUCAUGACGGUACUGUAAGAAUAAGCACCGGCUAACUACGUGCCAGCCGCCGCCGUAA